CACAUGACCCUGGACUGGACUGGAAAUGAUGUCAUCCAUGUCUGACUGUGAGGGGUCACCUCUGUCAGACCUCAAUUCAUAUGAUGAGGAUGUAUAAUGGUAGGACUUUUAACCACAAAUUUGCACUUCAAAAUUCCUGAAGCAGCUCUAAACGGACACUAAGGGCUCUAUUUUGGUGCCUCGCCGGAGACGUGCCGCAAGCGCAGAGUCAAUCAGAUCCGCCGCGCUGACAAGGCGUUCCCAAGCACAUUUUGGUAUUUUGGUGAGCCGCGCAGCCCGGCGUAAGUAUCCCCCCUCCCUAACUCAGCUCCUCCCGGCAGCAUAAAUCAUAGACGGGGAGGAGAGAGGGCGUAUACUGUGUUUAACACAGCCGAGACCUGUUUUCACCAAUCACAUUAGCUCCUCUCCUCGCCUUUAAAUCCGCCACAGACGAGGCAUAUUACUAUUUUCAUGAAGUAGUCAAAGAGAUCAAGAGAUGUCUGAAGACGGUUAUGCCACACGAUGGCGACAGAGGGCAGCUGCUCAACAAGUGUCCUCCACACUCUCUCAUCUGAGCACAGAUGGAUUUGGUGUGCGUAAUGCUGGACCCACUGGUAAGACAAACACCCUUUUCCACAAAUAAAGACA